rnacentral:rRNA from 1 species
AGUGAACGCUGGCGGUAGGCCCAACACAUGCAAGUCGAACGGCAGCACAGUAAGAGCUUGCUCUUACGGGUGGCGAGUGGCGGACGGGUGAGGAAUACAUCGGAAUCUACUUUUUCGUGGGGGAUAACGUAGGGAAACUUACGCUAAUACCGCAUACGACCUACGGGUGAAAGCAGGGGAUCUUCGGACCUUGCGCGAUUGAAUGAGCCGAUGUCGGAUUAGCUAGUUGGCGGGGUAAAGGCCCACCAAGGCGACGAUCCGUAGCUGGUCUGAGAGGAUGAUCAGCCACACUGGAACUGAGACACGGUCCAGACUCCUACGGGAGGCAGCAGUGGGGAAUAUUGGACAAUGGGCGCAAGCCUGAUCCAGCCAUACCGCGUGGGUGAAGAAGGCCUUCGGGUUGUAAAGCCCCUUUGUUGGGAAAGAAAAGCAGCAGGUUAAUACCCCGCUGUUCUGACGGUACCCAAAGAAUAAGCACCGGCUAACUUCGUG